AGUGAACGCUGGCGGUAGGCCUAACACAUGCAAGUCGAACGGCAGCACAGUAAGAGCUUGCUCUUACGGGUGGCGAGUGGCGGACGGGUGAGGAAUACAUCGGAAUCUACUUUUUCGUGGGGGAUAACGUAGGGAAACUUACGCUAAUACAGCAUACGACCUACGGGUGAAAGCAGGGGAUCUUCGGACCUUGCGCGAUUGAAUGAGCCGAUGUCGGAUUAGCUAGUUGGCGGGGUAAAGGCCCACCAAGGCGACGAUCCGUAGCUGGUCUGAGAGGAUGAUCACCCACCCUGGAACUGAGACACGGUCCAGACUCCUACGGGAGGCAGCAGUGGGGAAUAUUGGGCAAUGGGCGCAAGCCUGAUCCAGCCAUACCGCGUGGGUGAAGAAGGCCUUCUGGUUGUAAAGCCCUUUUGUUGGGAAAGAAAAGCAGCAGGUUAAUACCCCGCUGUUCUGACGGUACCCAAAGAAUAAGCACCGGCUAACUUCGUG
rnacentral:rRNA from 1 species